rnacentral:misc_RNA from 1 species
ACUAAACCGCGUGAGGGAUAGCAGUGGAAAGCCCGGAGUUGCGGAGUAGUGCAGCGAAAACGCAAUGAGGACUUGCAACGAAUAGCCCGACAGCAA